AUAAUAAAAUUCAUUACUGUAUUAUCUUAACUCUACAUCUUUAAAGUUUAUACUUUUUAUAUCGAUCCUUUCGUACUAGAUAUAAAUAAAAAAAUUGAGGAUAGAAACUGACCUGGCUUACGCCGGUCUGAACUCAGAUCAUGUAAAAUUUUAAUGGUCGAACAGACCAACCCUUAAAGACUUCUACAUCUUUAGGAUAUUUUAGUCCAACAUCGAGGUCACAACCCCCUCUUUCGAUUAGAUCUCUCAAGAGAGAUUAUGCUGUUAUCCCUGCGGUAACUAAUUUCCUAGAUCGACUGUUGUCGGAUCAAAACUUGAGAGUUUGUUUUAUUUAAGAAGCUUUUUUUGUUCCUUAGUCGCCCCAACUAAAAAGCUUAAUAGAAAAUUUAUUUAAAUAUAUAUAUAAACUUCUAUGAUGUCUUUUAAGCUCGACAGGGUCUUCUUGUCCUCCAAUAAAAUUUAGGCCUCUUCACCUAAAGGUUAAGUUCUUGAAAAUAAAAAAGAGACAGUGUUGCUCUCGUUAAACCAUUCAUACUAGCCUUCAAUUAUAAGGCAAAUGAUUAUGCUACCUUUGCACGGUCAGAGUACCGCGGCCGUUAAAACAAAUUUCACUGGGCAGGCCUGACUCUUUAUAAAAAUAAUUCAAAGAGCCAUGUUUUUGAUAAACAGGCGGGGCAACUAAAUUUGCCGAGUUCCUUUUUAUUAAUUUUAAUUCAAUUAAUACUUUUCAAGAAGAAAAUAACUAAUUAUUUUCCUAAUGUAUAAUAGGUUUUAAUACUCAUCUUAGCAUAAGUAUAAGACAUAUAUUAAUUAAAGUCUUUAUUUCUAUAAGAAGUUAGGACAAAAUAUAUUUGUCUUUAGCAUUAAAAUUAUUUUUUUAUAACAAACUCUUACGGUAGCCAAUAUUAAGCCUACGUAACAAAUUUUAAUUAAAUAUUCCUUAACUUUUUUUCGAGCUUAUCCUCGAAAUUAGCAAGAAAGUGUUUAUAAAAUAGAUAAAUAUCUUAUAAUCGUCUUCCAGCCGACACUUUUAUAUCUUUCUAGAAAAACUAGCUAUCGCUAGUGCGAAUGAAAUUUCAUCUCUAUUUUCUUUUAUUAUUUAAAUUUUGCUACAUUUAGAAUUAAGGUGCUAAAAACCUAAAGAAAAUAGCUCACUAGCUUUCGAGAUGGCAGAAUUCUGAUAAAUUCUUGCUAAAUCGUGAUACAAAAAGUACGCUAUUAUAACUACUUUUUUAUAUUAUUUUAUUCCCUCACGGUACUUCUUUUUUAAUUUGUAAUUCUAUCGCCUUUACUAAACUUUUUGAUGUUUCAGCAACAUAUAACAUGUGUAUGAUAUAAUAUAAUUAU
rnacentral:rRNA from 1 species